AAAAGCCUCUAAGCAUCAGGUAACAUCAAAUCGUACCCCAAACCGACACAGGUGGUCAGGUAGAGAAUACCAAGGCGCUUGAGAGAACUCGGGUGAAGGAACUAGGCAAAAUGGUGCCGUAACUUCGGGAGAAGGCACGCUGAUAUGUAGGUGAAGCGACUUGCUCGUGGAGCUGAAAUCAGUCGAAGAUACCAGCUGGCUGCAACUGUUUAUUAAAAACACAGCACUGUGCAAACACGAAAGUGGACGUAUACGGUGUGACGCCUGCCCGGUGCCGGAAGGUUAAUUGAUGGGGUUAGCGGUAACGCGAAGCUCUUGAUCGAAGCCCCGGUAAACGGCGGCCGUAACUAUAACGGUCCUAAGGUAGCGAAAUUCCUUGUCGGGUAAGUUCCGACCUGCACGAAUGGCGUAAUGAUGGCCAGGCUGUCUCCACCCGAGACUCAGUGAAAUUGAACUCGCUGUGAAGAUGCAGUGUACCCGCGGCAAGACGGAAAGACCCCGUGAACCUUUACUAUAGCUUGACACUGAACAUUGAGCCUUGAUGUGUAGGAUAGGUGGGAGGCUUUGAAGUGUGGACGCCAGUCUGCAUGGAGCCGACCUUGAAAUACCACCCUUUAAUGUUUGAUGUUCUAACGUGGGCCCCUAAUCGGGGUUGCGGACAGUGUCUGGUGGGUAGUUUGACUGGGGCGGUCUCCUCCUAAAGAGUAACGGAGGAGCACGAAGGUUGGCUAAUCCUGGUCGGACAUCAGGAGGUUAGUGCAAUGGCAUAAGCCAGCUUGACUGCGAGCGUGACGGCGCGAGCAGGUGCGAAAGCAGGUCAUAGUGAUCCGGUGGUUCUGAAUGGAAGGGCCAUCGCUCAACGGAUAAAAGGUACUCCGGGGAUAACAGGCUGAUACCGCCCAAGAGUUCAUAUCGACGGCGGUGUUUGGCACCUCGAUGUCGGCUCAUCACAUCCUGGGGCUGAAGUAGGUCCCAAGGGUAUGGCUGUUCGCCAUUUAAAGUGGUACGCGAGCUGGGUUUAGAACGUCGUGAGACAGUUCGGUCCCUAUCUGCCGUGGGCGCUGGAGAACUGAGGGGGGCUGCUCCUAGUACGAGAGGACCGGAGUGGACGCAUCACUGGUGUUCGGGUUGUCAUGCCAAUGGCACUGCCCGGUAGCUAAAUGCGGAAGAGAUAAGUGCUGAAAGCAUCUAAGCACGAAACUUGCCCCGAGAUGAGUUCUCCCUGAGACUUAGAGUCUCCUGAAGGAACGUUGAAGACGACGACGUUGAUAGGCCGGGUGUGUAAGCGCAGCGAUGCGUUGAGCUAACCGGUACUAAUGAACCGUGAGGCUUAACCUUACAACGCCGAAG
rnacentral:rRNA from 1 species